GGAUCAAAAACGCGAAGAUUCAUGGCAGCAAAUGGUGUUCAGACACCAAGAAGAGAGCAAUUAUCGGGUUUUAAGUGUUUGAUGGAAUCAUCCUCAUCGGAAAGCUACAAUGCAACCAACACCAUUCCUUUUAAUUUGUUAAGGGGGGAAGAUGCUGCCAUGCUGCCACCCUUAGCCUCACAUUAGUGGUCGUAGCAAUUUAUUUAGACACAAUAUCCAAAGUAUUAGAUGGUUAGUCCAAGGUAUCUUUGUCAGCACAACAAAUAUACUUUUGUAUAUCGUGAUGG
rnacentral:sRNA from 1 species